AAAGAGGGCUAAGCGAUCGCUGCUCGUUUUGCGAGCAGAGGAAAGUCCGGGCUCCACAGGACAAGGUGGUGGGUAACACCCACCGUCCGCGAGGACAGGGAAAGUGCCACAGAGAACAGACCGCCGGAAGUAGGCGGUAGGUAGUUGGGCUGAAGCCAGUAGGUUUUCUCGAUCUUCAGGCUACAGCCUAACUACCUACCGUCUAUUCCGGUAAGGGUGAAACGGUGAGGUAAGAGCUCACCAGCAGAUCGGGUGACCGGUUUGGCUAGGUAAACCCCACCUGGAGCAAGACCAAGCAGGAAGUCGCGUGAACGGUUCGCCGUCCACCGCGGAGCUGUUCGUUCCGUUUGGCUUUCGGGUAGGUUGCACGAGGCGGCGAGCAAUCGUCGUCCUAGAUAAAUGAUCGCUCUCGACAUAACCCGGCUUAUUGGCCCUCUUUGAUU
rnacentral:RNase_P_RNA from 1 species